rnacentral:rRNA from 1 species
CCUACGGGAGACAGCAGUGAGGAAUAUUGGUCAAUGGGCGCGAGCCUGAACCAGCCAAGUCGCGUGAGGGAAGACGGUCCUAUGGAUUGUAAACCUCUUUUGUCGGGGAGCAAAAGACGCCACGCGUGGCGUUCCGAGAGUACCCGAAGAAAAAGCAUCGGCUAACUCCGUGCCAGCAGCCGCGGUAAUACGGAGGAUGCGAGCGUUAUCCGGAUUUAUUGGGGUUAAAGGGUUCGCAGGCGGAAGAUCAAGUCAGCGGUAAAAUUGAGGGGCUCAACCUCUUCGAGCCGUGGAAACUGGUGUUCUUGAGUGAGUGAGAAGUAUGCGGAAUGCGUGGUGUAGCGGUGAAAUGCAUAGAUAUCACGCAGAACUCCGAUUGCGAAGGCAGCAUACCGGCGCUCAACUGACGCUGAUGCACGAAAGUGUGGGUAUCGAACAGGAUUAGAUACCCCUGUAGUC